UACGCUCCAAGCAGAAUACUGAAGCAGGGCUGCACAGAGACCACACGAAUAAUAUCGAAGUGAUUGCGUGUGGGGCCCAUGAACACUGAAAGUGAUCGAAUGUGCACGCAGAGAUGGUGCUUUCAGACAAUGCAGCUUGAUGGAAAAUAAUUGAGCUUCAAUCGCAAGCACAAUAAUAAUAGCAUUGACUUGACUUGCAGGCUCUUUGGCUGGUUCUUGAUGGCUUCAACAACAAGACUAACGUUCCCCCCUCAGUCAUGACAGUCUUUUGAUGAUUUCAGAUUCUGAAGCGCACAAGAAGGUCGCUGGAUCUGCAUCGAUUUUAAGCCAGGUGGGUGGUUGUUCUCUGGUUUUGGUGGGUAAAAGGAACGACGAUACCUCAAGUUGAAGAUCAAAUCCAGCUGUUUGUCAUCAACAGCAGGCUAGCACACUCAAUCAUACCCAUAACCCACGAGUUGAUGAAAGUUUAGGAUCUCCACGAGUAAGUUUCAAUGACAACAAGACCAGCCAAGCCAUGAGGCUCAGAAAUUCAAGAAUCCAUGAGAUUGUUGUGAUGGUGUCAGCUUCAGGAACGCACGAGGAGGUCACCAAGAUCGAUCUGAUGCCGGCUUCUUGAUUUGUGACGACAGUGGCCAUUCUAAUGAUACCGAGGAAAAUAUACAAGUAGGCUACCACCCAACAGACAGAUAUUAGUAAUUCUCAGAAAAUAAUGGCGGAGAUUGUGAAUUCUUCUAGCCAUUAAAAAGAUCGGAAAUGCCUUGGCAAAUGGAGUGGCAGACCAGGUGAGCAUGCAGUUUGCGAAGUACGGGAAGCAAAAAGUAGAGCUACAGGGCAGCAUGGGUCGUGUUGCAAGGGAGCUUCGCGUCAUGCUUGAUGUUGUUUGUCAGAUGGACAUUCAAAACAGCAGCAAUCAAGUAUACGAGGGCUGGUUGGAGGAAGUACGGAAGGUAGCACAUGUGAUGGAAGACAUAGUGGAUGAGUACUUGUAUCUAAUUGAUCAGGAACAUGAUAUAGAGUUUUGCUUUUACCUGAAGCAAGGGGUCAGAAAACCAGGAUCUCUGCUUUAUUUGAACCAGAUAGCUUUCAAGGCGAAGGAAAUAGAGAAAGACCUUGCACACCUGUCAGAGAUAAAAAAUCGUUGGGUCCCCAUGAUACAGAACGGGGAUACUAGCAGCUCGAAUUACAUUGUCAAGAGGUCCCAAGAUCUAGCAAACAUUUCACGUUCCCUUGAUGAAGAAGAUUUAGUGGGGGUGGAUAGAAACAGAGAGACACUUGAGCAGUGGUUGGCUGGUGCUGAUUUGCAGUGCUCCGUGAUAGCACUGCUUGGAAUGGGAGGACUUGGUAAAACAACUUUAACUGCAAAUGUCUAUAGGAAGGAGAGAGGGCAAUUCCAGUGCCAUGCGUGGGUCUCCAUUUCUCAAACUUAUUCUAGAGAAGAUGUCCUGAGGAAUACAAUCAAGGAACUUUUCAAAGAUAACGCCAGUGUUCUGUCUAACACUGCGGCGAUGGACAUCACAUGCCUUGAAGAGACACUGAAAAGAUUUCUGGAGCAACAUAAAUAUUUGAUCGUAUGGAUGAUGUUUGGACUCCACAAGCAUUUGAUGACUUGUCUAGAGUGCUUAUUCAUGAUGACAAGGGCAGCAGACUGAUAAUUACAACAAGGGAAGGUGAUGUUGCUGCACUUGCCUCUCCAGGACAUAUCUUAAAGCUCGAAGCUUUACCAGAAGACAAGGCAUGUGAUCUCUUUCAUAAGAAAGCCUUUCCAACAGAUAAAAAUCAUGAAUGUCCUGUGGAGUUGAAGUCUCUGUCCUACGAAAUAGUUAGCAAGUGCAAAGGCUUGCCUCUCAUUAUUGUGUCAGUUGGUAACCUCUUGCGUGUGCGUGAGAAAACUGUGGAAGAAUGGAGAAGAAUAAAUGACCAACCGAGUUGGGAGUUAAUUAAUAACUUGAGGCUCGAUCACAUAAGGAAUGUUUUGCAUCUGAGCUUCAUCUAUCUUCCAGCAUGCUUGGAAAGUUGUUUCCUAUACUGCAGUUUAUUUCCAGAAGACUAUCUUUUCAAAAGGAAACAACUUGUACGGUUAUGGAUAGCAGAGGGAUUCAUUGAGGAGAGGGGUGAAAGCACAUUAGAAGAAGUGGCAGAAGGCUAUCUGCAGGAGUUAAUUGAUAGAAACAUGCUACAACUUGUUAAAAGGAACUCAUUUGGUAGGAGAAGGAAUUCAGAAUGCAUGAUAUCUUACGAGAAUUGGCUGUUGAUUUGUGUCAAAAGGAUUGUUUUGGUGUUACAUAUGAGGAUAAAUGUGUGGGUUCUCUUGAGAUGGAUGGGCGUCGAUUGGUAAUGCAUAAGCUAAAGAAGGAUAUUCAGCACUCGUUUUCUAGUAUACACCAACUUCGAACCGUCAUUGUAGUGGAUGAUAACAUGCCAUCAUUCACUCUACUACCUCUGUUAUGUAAGAAGUCAAGAUAUAUGACAGUGCUAGAAUUAAGUGGCUUACCCAUUGAGAAGAUUCCAGAUGCUAUUGGAGAUCUUUUUAGUCUCCGCCAUUUAGGUUUGCGUAAUUCAAAAGUGAAGAUGCUCCCGAGGUCUAUUGAAAAGCUUUCAAAUUUGUUGACACUGGACCUUUAUAGAUCAGAUAUACAUUAUUUGCCUAGUGGGGUUGUCAAACUGAAGAAGUUUAGGCACUUAUUUGCUGAGAAAAUGAAUUAUCUAGAUUGGAGGGAUAUUCAUUCUCACAGUGGUAUGACUAUCCCCAUUGGUCUUGGGAAUCUAACAAACCUGCAAACCUUACGAACAAUGGAAGUGCGGGGUGAGUCAGUUAGACAUUUGGGGGAGCUGAGGCAACUGAGAAGCUUGAGGUUAUCAAAUGUAAAGGGAAUCUACUGUGGACGCAUCCGUGAGUCUCUAGUUCAGAUGCAAUAUUUGUCCAAGCUAUCUGUGAAUGCAAGUGAUGAGAACGAGGUUCUCUUGUUGAACGUCCUCCCGCCAAAUCUGCAAACGCUAUCGUUGAGAGGACGAUUAGAGCAAGGGUCGUUGGAGGAGUCUCCUCCCUUCCAAUCUGAUGGAGGACAAAACGUGUGUGCAUUGGCUCUGUCUUGGUCACAACUGAGAAAAGACCCACUGCCAUCGCUUUCUUUGUUGUCGAACUUGACACUUCUACACUUCACCAGAGCAUACAACGGAGAGCAGCUGACAUUUCUCACGGGGUGGUUUCACAAGCUAAAGAUUCUCUUUCUAAGAGACCUGCCUAAUCUGAACCAGCUAGAGAUACAGCAAGGUGCCAUGGCGGGCCUGGAAAGAUUAUCCCUAGUCAACCUCAACAGCAUGACGGAGGUCCCACCUGGCAUCGAGUUCCUCGUGUCCCUUCAGUAUCUGGUCUUCCACGAAAUCACCGGUGACUUCUUGACGUUGCUGCGCCAAUGCUCUGCGAUUCGAGGGAAGCAGUGGCAUCAUACUCUCCAGCUUUGACCUGCCGCACUGGUCGGGAAAUGUGUACAUAAGUCACCCGCCCGAAGGAAGAUGCUUUAAAAUUUGGGCCGCGUGAAGAUAUGGCGUCAAUUAAUCUCAAGAUGAGUAUAUGCAGCGUCUCUGUACGUUCGUGCUACACCUGAUGUGCACACCGUCUGGGUUUCCUCUACCUUUUCAAGACGUACUACUGAUACUACUGCCUGAUGGGCUCACUGUUUGCUACCACUACUGCCUGUGUUUACUACUGCUAGAACUACUGUUCGUGACUUCGUGUGAUUGCUUGUGAGGUGUGAUAAUAUUGAUUUGGGCUGUGCCUUGGCUUUUAAGUAACACGACACUUACCGUAAGACCGUGAGUGAGUUGUGUUUUAAUAAUCGCACUAAUUUUUGCAGUACAUGAUUGAAUUUCAUACUUCCAUUUGAUAUGAUAUCGCCUAUUAAUUCCAGCCGUAUCUGUAAAAUAAUACAAUUUGGUUUUAGGCAGAAGGCUCAAGGAGAGCCCGGCACAAUUUGGUUAGUGAUUCAUAACGCUGAGACAUGCAUUUUCACUGCCAUAUGGUUACUGGCUUUAAUUAGUUAUUGUUGUUGUAACUUGCUGCUGAUGGGUGGAUCCUUGAAAUGGUAUCAACACAUGUGCCUGUUUUCUAACUAGUCUUCUGUCUUAUCUCCCUUAAUUUGGAAAUAUGAGC
rnacentral:rRNA from 1 species